rnacentral:rRNA from 1 species
GACGAACGCUGGCGGCGCGCCUAACACAUGCAAGUCGAACGAGCGAGAGAGAGCUUGCUUUCUCGAGCGAGUGGCGAACGGGUGAGUAACGCGUGAGGAACCUGCCUCAAAGAGGGGGACAACAGUUGGAAACGACUGCUAAUACCGCAUAAGCCCACGACCCGGCAUCGGGUAGAGGGAAGAGGAGCAAUCCGCUUUGAGAUGGCCUCGCGUCCGAUUAGCUAGUUGGUGAGGUAACGGCCCACCAAGGCGACGAUCGGUAGCCGGACUGAGAGGUUGAACGGCCACAUUGGGACUGAGACACGGCCCAGACUCCUACGGGAGGCAGCAGUGGGGAAUAUUGCACAAUGGGGGAAACCCUGAUGCAGCGACGCCGCGUGGAGGAAGAAGGUCUUCGGAUUGUAAACUCCUGUUGUUGAGGAAGAUAAUGACGGUACUCAACAAGGAAGUGACGGCUAACUACGUG